UACGUAGGUGGCAAGCGUUGUCCGGAUUUACUGGGCGUAAAGAGCGCGCAGGCGGUCGUUCAAGUCGCGUGUGAAAGCCCCCGGCUCAACUGGGGAGGGUCACGCGAUACUGAUCGACUGGAAGGCAGGAGAGGGUAGUGGAAUUCCCGGUGUAGUGGUGAAAUGCGUAGAUAUCAGGAAGAACACCCGUGGCGAAGGCGGCUCUCUGGAACGCAACUGACGCUGAGACGCGAAAGCGUGGGGAGCAAACAGG
rnacentral:rRNA from 1 species